UAAUGUGCGUCAGUUGUGUAGCCCCAGCGAGUUAACGCUCCACAGAGCGUCUUGUUUAAUUUAAUAAGUUUUGUCACAAUAUUACAGAUAAAUACAUAAACAAUGUUACGAACAACCGUAGUGACAGGAUGCAGUAACAGGAUAACUCCCAAUUGAUAACGGCACCCUUUACAUAAAAAGCCAUAAAAUAUACAGGUAUAUUACAAAAAGGUUACACAAAAUAGUAAGAUAGCUGUUCUUAAUGCUUUCCCAACAGUAACAUGGAUUUUUAAUAUAUUAAAGCUAAAUUGUAGUUGAAUCACUCAUCAAAACUUUAUUUUGUUAAUCUUCACGCAGCAUUGUCUCGCUAGCUAGAAUAUAUGCGAGUGUCUUCAAUAUCGUGAAAAUCGUUUUCUUCACAAUUUCGUUCAAGAAUAAAUGUAUACGGCCAAGAUUUUUGGUCGAAAAAACGCAGACACAAUUUAGGAUAUCAUUUCAGACCUUUAUAUUUAAGUGUGAAGUGUUUAAUCAUAAUCAACUUGUAUGCGGUUUACAAUACUUGCUCUGCAUGGAUUUGCUCAAACCAUAGUCUAUCAAGAUAGGAUGGUCUGGAAACUGAACAAAAGUCAUUUUAUUAUGUUUUUGUCGGAGUUUAUGUUAAUUUGUGCACGGUCACGGUGAUUGAGCUCAUUGUAUUUUCGUAUAAUGAAGUAAUCGUCCAAUAGGGAUAGCUGAGAUGAAACGUGCAGCCACGAUGAAUAAUAUUUAAUGAAGUUGAGACAAAGGAUUUGUGCACGGUGAGAUGCAGUUCAAC